rnacentral:rRNA from 1 species
GACGUAGGGCGCGAGCGUUGUCCGGAAUUAUUGGGCGUAAAGAGCUCGUAGGCGGUCUGUCGCGUCUGCUGUGAAAACUCAGGGCUUAACCCUGAGCUUGCAGUGGGUACGGGCAGACUAGAGUUCGGUAGGGGGAGUCUGGAAUUCCUGGUGUAGCGGUGAAAUGCGCAGAUAUCAGGAGGAACACCGGUGGCGAAGGCGGGUCUCUGGGCAGUAACUGACGCUGAGGAGCGAAAGCUAGGGGAACAAACGGG